rnacentral:rRNA from 1 species
GUGAAGUCGGAAUCGCUAGUAAUCGCGGAUCAGCAUGCCGCGGUGAAUACGUUCCCGGGCCUUGUACACACCGCCCGUCACACCAUGAGAGUUGGGAAUACCCGAAGUCUGUAAUCUAACCGCAAGGAGGAUGCAGCCGAAGGUAGGCUCAAUGAUUGGGGUUAAGUCGUAACAAGGUAAC